GAUGAACGCUGGCGGCGUGCCUAAUACAUGCAAGUCGAGCGAACAGACGAGGAGCUUGCUCCUCUGACGUUAGCGGCGGACGGGUGAGUCACACGUGGAUAACCUACCUAUAAGACUGGGAUAACUUCGGGAAACCGGAGCUAAUACCGGAUAAUAUAUUGACCCGCAUGGUUCAAUAGUGAAAGACGGUUUUGCUGUCACUUAUAGAUGGAUCCGCGCCGCAUUAGCUAGUUGGUAAGGUAACGGCUUACCAAGGCAACGAUGCGUAGCCGACCUGAGAGGGUGAUCGGCCACAUGGGAACUGAGACACGGUCCAGACGACUACGGGAGGGAGCAGUAGGGAAUCUUCCGCAAUGGGCGGAAGCCUUACGGAGCAACGCCGCGUGAGUUAUGAAGGUCUCCGGAUCGUAAAGCUCUGUUAUGAGUGAAGAACAAAUGUGUAAGUAACUAUGCACGUCGUGACGGUACCUAAUCAGAAAGCCACGGCUAACUACGUG
rnacentral:rRNA from 1 species